rnacentral:rRNA from 1 species
CUAACUACGUGCCAGCAGCCGCGGUAAUACGUAGGGGGCUAGCGUUAUCCGGAUUUACUGGGCGUAAAGGGUGCGUAGGCGGUCUUUCAAGUCAGGAGGGAAAGGCUACGGCUCAACCGUAGUAAGCGCUUGAAACUGGGAGACUUGAGUGCAGGAGAGGAGAGUGGAAUUCCUAGUGUAGCGGUGAAAUGCGUAGAUAUUAGGAGGAACACCAGUUGCGAAGGCG